UUUCGGGGGGUAGGGGAAGGAGGGUUGUAGAUACUGUAUAAUUGCUGCAACAGCAACCCAAUAACAAAGUCAUUCUCCCAAGAAGAACAUGGCCGUAGAGUAGUUGUCAACUUCAGCCCUUUUGUUCUCUCCACCUUUUUCCUUUGUCCCUGCUGUUCUGUGUCCACUGCACCUGUGUAAAUACUCACUUUGAUGUAAAGGACCGACUUCGCAAAAAUAGGGUGAGAACGCCGAAGAAGAAAAAAUAACCGUCUCGCUUUCUUUUUUGUCACACCUCUGUAAAUCUGUCCGUUGUGGAUUUGCUCUCAGACGGGAGGGGUUUUAGUCCGAGCGAAGACUUACACACAGAAGUUUGGUUUUUGGAGUCAACGCUCCCCGAGUUUACUCUUUUUUGCCAAGCUGUUCAUCACUGUUUAUUUAGUUGUGUAUUUUGCAUGGUGACAUACACGUUUUAGAGCUGUCGUCACUUGUUAUGAAUUGUAAGUUAAAGGCAAUACACGGACUGGUCUGGCUGCACAAACUGGACGCUGAGAGUGUCUACAUGAGCCCUGAAGCUUUUUUUUUUCUCACAACACUGAGCUGUAAAUUGAACGUUUUGACAUUGUAGAGCGUCUGGGCUUUUAUCACAUGAGUCACAGUCACACAAGUCAAGAUUGUACACUGGAUAAUUUACUGUUAAACUUAUAUUCUAAGAGUUAUGGUUGAUGCUCACAACCAGAGCUGCUUGUAAACAUGCGAGCAGGACGGGCUCAGCAUCCCUUUGGAGGACAUUUUUUAUUUUUAUUUUUUACCCUUCGACGAUGGUCUCUGAUUGGUUACUUCACUUUUUUACUUGAUAUUUCUUUCAUUGUUCAUUGAUCUCAAAGGAUGCGCUAGGUGCAAGCGAUGCCGCUUUAAAGCCAGCUGAAGCCUUUUACAUGUGCAGGAUGUUAGCAUUAAUCAACACCCUGUGAAUAAAGGUUAGGAGGCGGGGUCAGAUUGAGAGACCAUAGAUUUAAAAAAAAUAAAAAAUAAAAAAAACAUCUAAAUAUAUAUAUAUAUAUAUAUAUAUAGUAAGAAUUUUCAUUACGAUAAUGUCUUACUGAUCAUUUUAGAGAGACAAAAAAAUAAUGUUCACUUAUUAAAGCUUAGUUGUCUUUCUACAGAAUAGAGAACAUAGCUAUUAGAAUUUCUUAAAAAAAAAAAAAAAAAAAAAUAUCCAAUGUUUUUAUCGUGGUAUUAUUUGUAUUUUAACUUUUUGUACGUAUCAAGACUGUGAACAUAUAUAAGGAUGUGUGCUGGUGUGUGGGUGUGGGUGUGUGCGUGGGUGUGUGUUUGUGGGUGUGUGACAUGCAUGUGAGUGUAUGUUUUCACCUUGUCUGAAUCACUGGAAUCAGUCAACAGACGACCUCGGUCUGAUUACACGCAUCUGUAAUGUUGGAAAUUCUACAAUAAAUGUCCUCUCCUUGUACAG